rnacentral:rRNA from 1 species
AGAGUUUGAUCAUGGCUCAGAACGAACGCUGGCGGCAGGCCUAAUACAUGCAAGUCGAACGCCGUAGCAAUACGGAGUGGCAGACGGGUGAGUAACACGUGGGAACGUGCCCAAAGGUACGGAACAACUCCGGGAAACUGGAGCUAAUACCGUAUGUGCCCGAGAGGGGAAAGAUUUAUCGCCUUUGGAUCGGCCCGCGUCUGAUUAGCUAGUUGGCGGGGUAAUGGCCCACCAAGGCGACGAUCAGUAGCUGGUCUGAGAGGAUGACCAGCCACACUGGGACUGAGACACGGCCCAGACUCCUACGGGAGGCAGCAGUAGGGAAUAUUGGACAAUGGGCGAAAGCCUGAUCCAGCCAUGCCGCGUGAGUGAUGAAGGCCUUAGGGUUGUAAAGCUCUUUCGCCAGGGACGAUAAUGACGGUACCUGGAUAAGAAGCCCCGGCUAACUUCGUGCCAGCCGCCGCGGUAAUUC